rnacentral:tRNA from 3 species
UGGGGUAUCGCCAAGCGGUAAGGCACUUGGUUUUGGUCCAAGCAUUCGGGGGUUCGAAUCCCUCUACCCCAUCCA